AGGGAAUCUUCGGCAAUGGACGGAAGUCUGACCGAGCAACGCCGCGUGAGUGAAGAAGGUUUUCGGAUCGUAAAGCUCUGUUGUAAGAGAAGAACGAGUGUGAGAGUGGAAAGUUCACACUGUGACGGUAUCUUACCAGAAAGGGACGGCUAACUACGUGCCAGCAGCCGCGGUAAUACGUAGGUCCCGAGCGUUGUCCGGAUUUAUUGGGCGUAAAGCGAGCGCAGGCGGUUAGAUAAGUCUGAAGUUAAAGGCUGUGGCUUAACCAUAGUACGCUUUGGAAACUGUUUAACUUGAGUGCAAGAGGGGAGAGUGGAAUUCCAUGUGUAGCGGUGAAAUGCGUAGAUAUAUGGAGGAACACCGGUGGCGAAAGCGGCUCUCUGGCUUGUAACUGACGCUGAGGCUCGAAAGCGUGGGAAGCAAACAGGAUUAGAUACCCUGGUAGUCCACGCCGUAAACGAUGAGUGCUAGGUGUUAGACCCUUUCCGGGGUUUAGUGCCGUAGCUAACGCAUUAAGCACUCCGCCUGGGGAGUACGACCGCAAGGUUG
rnacentral:rRNA from 1 species